UGGGCGGGCGGAGCCUUGUGGCCUGGAGUAGUGAAGUCGCCCCGCAGGUUUCCCAAGUCUCGCGUGAUCACGUGGUGGCCCCCACAGGCGGAAGUGUCUGACAGCUCUUUUGGGAUAAGGGGCUUUUAAAGUAUUGCUGGAAACGACGAAUUUUGAGAGACACGCGGAAUGUAGUCUGGACAAGUGAAGGAGUUUAUCCUCAUAAAGCAAAACGAAAUGUCACAGUUAUAUGCCUCUGAAUGCAGAUUUGGAGAAUAUCAAAGGCAGCUUACCAGAGAGGAAAAUAUGCGACCUGCCAGGACCUGAAGGAAGAACUUAGAGAAAGCAGAGCCAUUAAUACUCAGAAAAUGGGAAGUUGUCGAUCAUGUUGAACAGUGGAGCGGAACAAGUAGAAAUUAGAACAUAUUUCUGAACUGAGUUCACCA